rnacentral:tRNA from 1 species
GCUUAUGUAGCUUAAAUAAAGCACAACACUGAAGAUGUUGAGAUGAGCCUUUAAAAGCUCCGUGGGCA